rnacentral:rRNA from 1 species
AGCGCACACAAGAAAUGGGGCCUGCGGCUUAAUUUGACUCAACACGGUGCAACUCACCCGGCCCGGACACAGGAAGGAUUGACAGAUUAAGAGCUCUUUCUUGAUUCUGUGACAGGUGGUGCAUGGCCGUUUCUAGUUGGUGGAGUGAUUUGUCUGCUUUAUUGCGAUAACGAGCGAGACUCUAGCCUACUAAAUAGACCGUCUAUCGUUUAACGUAGACGGGUCUUCUUAGAGGGACAAGCGGUGUUCAGCCGCACGAAACUGAGCA